GAAGCUACGCUGAAAAAAGCUUAGUUGAUUUAAUACCAAGAAAGUAGCUAAAUUCUCUAACAACUCUAAUAAAGAAUAUUGUUCAAUUGUAAAAUAGUUGAUGUAAUAGCAUAAGGAUCAUUACCCUUAAUAAGUAUGUCAUGUACAUAGGCAAAAAAAUAUAUUGCUGAAGCCUACCAGACUUCUUUAUGAAUAGGGAUGGAUGAUAUCAUUGAGCAUUUAUUGAAGUAAAGGUAGAAGAGAAAAUUGAACUAUGAAUGAAAGCCUUAUAUUGAUUUUGUUCAGCAGAUAUCAUGUUACAAGUGUUCAAGCAACUACUUUCUCAAAGAGUAUUUUUAUAGAAUAUGGAUUGAAUCAAAAUGAAGAAGCAAGAACAGAGUUGAGAGCAGUAGAUGCGUGGAUACUGACUGACAAGCCUUACUCUCAUCAAUCCAUUCAUUCGGUUAAAUGGCAAAUAGAGCUCAAAUUCCCACCUAAAGUUCAACGCUCAUUGCUAUAAUCGCAGAUGAGGAUACUAUUGUUGGAAUUUUGCUGGCUGGAGCGGGUAAUGUUGACUUGCAAAGAAAGACAAAUUAUCUUAUUUUAGAUUCAAGCAGCUGCUAUUUUAAUGAUUUUGUAUAUUUUCAUGUUAGUUGUUAGUGUUUCCAAAAUAAAUGAAGUUUUAUUAGAAUUGAAAAAGAAUAAAAAGUUCUUACUAUCAAGAAUUUGAUAUACGAUGCAUAAAAUAAGUUUUUCAAUUAAUGUGGUUAUUUAAGAAUA